rnacentral:piRNA from 1 species
UCCACUCUUAACCUCAUUCCUUGUGUGUCC